UACGAAGGGGGCAAGCGUUGUUCGGAAUUACUGGGCGUAAAGGGCGCGUAGGCGGCCUUCUAAGUCGAACGUGAAAUCCCCGGGCUCAACCCGGGAACUGCGUCCGAUACUGGAAGGCUUGAAUCCGGGAGAGGGAUGUGGAAUUCCAGGUGUAGCGGUGAAAUGCGUAGAUAUCUGGAGGAACACCGGUGGCGAAGGCGCAUCCUGGACCGGCAUUGACGCUGAGGCGCGAAAGCUGAGGGGACAAACAGGG
rnacentral:rRNA from 1 species